GAUCCUGGCUCAGGAUGAACGCUAGCUACAGGCUUAACACAUGCAAGUCGAACGGUAACAGGAAGCAGCUUGCUGCUUCGCUGACGAGUGGCGGACGGGUGAGUAAUGUCUGGGAAACUGCCUGAUGGAGGGGGAUAACUACUGGAAACGGUAGCUAAUACCGCAUAACGUCGCAAGACCAAAGAGGGGGGACCUUCGGGCCUCUUGCCAUCGGAUGUGCCCAGAUGGGAUUAGCUAGUAGG
rnacentral:rRNA from 1 species